rnacentral:lncRNA from 1 species
GGAAGGCUGCACUUCUCCCCAGCCCCAGGGUGAGUCUUCACUGAAGCAAGCUAAUCAUGGUGAUCUCAUUGUUUAUGACUCACUUUUGAAGAGUGAGACUUUAGGGAACUGAACCCGGGCUGCUGAGAUGGAGCACUCCAAACUUAACCACCAGGCCACAGGGCCGGCCUCCAACUCUUUUAAUCUGUUAAAGGAUGUCCAUCAAAAAUCCACAAAACUCAAUAUGCGUGGUUUUUAAAGAAAGUCGACCAUGGAAACUACACUGAGAAUGGUAAGAUUGAUAUUCCCAAUCCCUUCCAAAACUUGGAGCCUUCUCCUUUUCCAUGCCAACCCACACGACGCAAAGAAAUGGAGUAGCAUUCCGAGAAAAGGAGUUGGGAGAAUGGAGAAGAGGAAAAGGUGAAAGUGAGGUGGUCUCACGUAUGGUCACAGAAAGAGCAAUCAAUCAAUCAAUCAAUCAUAAAAAUAACUCUGGGAGUCUCAAUUUUGACCAAAAAAUCUAUGAUUUUUGUCAAUGCGAAUUUGAUUUGCCUGAAGUGUUGUUUCCUCAAAAUGGGCCAGAACAAAGCUUGCCCUUGCUGAACAGCUGCUGUCUCUGUCCCCGAGACCAUGAACAACAGACAAGACCGGACAGAGGCACUUGCUGAGGGAACCUACAAACUACAGUGACCUUCCCAGGACAGUGGGUCUACAAAGUCCUGCUCACAAAAAACACAUUCUCGUUAUCAACUGGCCUGUGUGAGAGCAAGGCGUGCAGCCACCAUUGCUCCCUCCAGACAGACAGCGAGGAGAUGGGGCUGCUGAGUGUCUGUGGUGUCUAGGGUCGCUCCUCACCCCAAAGAGGCAAUGAUUUCAGGAAGCGAAGGCUCUCAUCGCGGGCUGACUGAUGACAGGGUUUGGAAUGGAGGGUCUUGUGGACAGUUUGUGAAAACUCUCCCAAGGAGCUUACGAGUUUCUUCCACGUCUAAAAGGCCUGUUAACACUGAGCCACAUGAAAAAAUAAUACUCUGGAGCGGUUUUCCCCCCUCCAUGAUGUGAUUAACAUCUGAAACUACUCAAAUUAUACUCCAAUGAGGAAAACUUCAACAAGAAAAGCUCUCCUCAACAUUAAAAGAGUCUACUUGUUUUGUAAUCUGCA